AGAGUCCAAACGGUAGAGAAUGGCAGGCAGUCUCAGGGUCAGAGUAGGCAGAGGUAAAUUAUCCAGUGUGAUGUGACAAGGUACAGGACAGGAGGCAGGCUCAGGGAAGACAGAAUGCUCAAAACCGGGAAAACAGUAACUAGAAACAGACCUGCGCAAGGGGAAAACUGCUGGUAGGCUCGACGAACAAAACAAACUGGCAACAGACAAACAGAGAACACAGGUAUAAAUAUACGGGGGAAGAUGGGCGACACCUGGAGGGGGUGGAGACAAGCACAAAGACAGUUCUUGCUAUGGAGCUGCUAGCUGCCUGCCAGGGCAUCGAGUUCUUCCACCCCCUGCUUACCACAACACCAUUGGAGAAGGUCUAUGACCUUGUACGCAGUGUAACCAAAGCCCUUCAUCAAGGAUAGGUUCAUGUCACCAGACAUUGAUGCUGUCCAUCUUCUUCUAGACCAGAAGGCAAGUGUGUGGUCAUUAUAGAUGUCACUCUGAGCCUAUAUUUAUUCAAUAAAUAUAAAGACGGUCAUUUAGCAGAACGCUUUUAACCAGGUUUGUGUAUUUGAUGUCAUUUUCCAGGUGUGGAACGUGGCACAGCCAUAUAUUGAGUUACAGUAUAAACUGAGUGGUUCAAGCCCUGAAUGCUAAUAGCCUGAAAGCCGUGGUAUACAUGUAUUUUUACUGCUCUAAUCAUGUUGGUAACCAGUUUAUAAUAGCAAUAAGGCACCUCGGGGGUUUGUGAUAUAUGGACAAUAUACCACGGCUAAGGGCUGUGUCCUAGCACUCCGCGUUGUGUUGUGCAUAAUAACAUCCAUUAGCCGUGGUAUAUUGGCCCUUUACCACACCCCCUCGGGCCUUAUUGCUUAAGUAUAAGAUGGAGUUCCUACUGCCUUCUCAUCACCAUGGAAAUGAGUCCGACUCGAGUGAAAUCAUCAUUAAUAUCAUUCAUAUCAAUAUCAUCUUUGUCUAAAUGUAUUGUCUCUCUAUUUCAGAUAAAUGUUUUCUUCCUUCCGCAACCCCAGCCACUGCAAUAAUAAUAAUUUAUUCUAUAUUCGUUUUGAAUAAGGAGUUGUCGGAUAACUCCUGCAUUGAUUGAGGCUAGACAGUAGAUUUGUAAUCUUAUUCGUCACCGAAACUAUACUAAACAAAAAUCAGUAUCUGGUGUGACCACCAUUUGUCUUAUGUAGCGCGACACAUCUCCUUUGCUUAGAGUGUUGAUUGUGGCCUGUGGAAUGACAUCCCUCUCCUCUUUUCAAUGGCUGUGCGAAGUUGCUGGAUAUUGGUGGGAACUGGAACACGCGGUCGUACACGUCGUUCCAGAUCAUCCCAAACGUGAUCAAUGGGUGACAUGGUCUGGUGAGGCCAUGGAAGAACUGGGACAUUUUCAGCUUCCAGGAAUUGUGUACAGAUCCUUGCGACAUGGGACUGUGCAUUAUCAUGCUGAAACAUGAGGUGCCGGCGGAUGAAUGGCACGACAAUGAGCCUCAGGAUCUUCUCACAGCAGAUACGGAUACUUUGUGCAUUCAAAUUGCCAUCGCUAAAAUGCAAUUGUGUUCUUUGCCCGUAGGUUAUGCCUGCCCAUACCAUAACCCUACUGCUACCAUGGGGCACUCUGUUCACAACGUUAACAUCAGCAAACUGCUCGCCCACACGAUUCCAUACAUGCUUUCUGCCCGGUACAGUUGAAACCGGGAUUAAUUUGUGAAGAGCACACUUCUCCAGCGUGCCAGUGGCCAUCGAAGGUGAGCAUUUGUCCACUGAAGUUGGUUACGACGCCAAACUGCAGUCAGGUCAAGACUCUGGUGAGGACGACGAGCACGCAGAUGAGCUUCCCUAAGAUGGUUUCUAACAGUUUGUGCAGAAAUUCUUAGGUUGUGCAAACCCACAGUUUCAUCAGUUGUCCGGGUGUGUAACAGCAUUCUUCCUCCUCUUCUGAGGAGGUGUAGCAAGGGAUCGGACCAAUACGCAGCGUGGUAAGUGUCCAUAUCGUUUAUUAUAAAACAUAAACUGAACACUAAGAAAUACAAAACAUAAAUGUGAACAUGAACGAAAACCGAAACAGUACCGUGUGGUGACAAACACAGACACGGAAACAAACACCCAACCGCCAACAGUGAAACCCAGGCUACCUAAAUAUGGUUCUCAAUCAGGGACAACGAUAAACAGCUGCCUCUGAUUGAGAACCAUAUCAGGCCAAACACAGAACUAGAAAAAACAUAGAAACACAAACAUGGACUGCCCACCCCAACUCACGCCCGACCAUACUAAAUAAAGACACCCAUUGCAAAAAAAAAGAUUGCAGUUUUGAAACUGCAUUAAAAGUGCAGUAACUGCAGUCGACUGUGGUGUUUUGAACUGCAGUUAUACUGCAAAAUUACGGUUGUAAAAAAGGGUGUUAUUUUGGACACAGUAUUUGCAGCAUAUUGCAGUUAUAGUGCAUUUCAACUGGAGCGAUACUCUGACUGCAAUAUUUUUUCAUAAGGGACCCUCUCUCUCUCACACACAGUACAGUAUUUACAAUCCAUAGAGCAGCUUUAAAGAGGAAUGGAAGCACGUUAGGAAGUGAAGCUAAGCAAAGAUAUGUACUCAAACGUGCAUUUAUUAACAUGAAAACAUCUCUAUACAUUAGUAUUUUGAUCGUCAACAGGGUUUAUCGAGCUGUGGUCAGCACCACUUUGUGUGUCACCUCCAGCAACUAGCAAGCAACUCAACUGCAACUAAAAUGGCAACACAGUUUCUAAGUGUAGCCCUGUUAUUAGAUAGCUAGCUAGCUUCCACCUCAGAUAGUCAAUUAAUACAUUUGGCUGAAAGAUUUGUUUUUGCCAUGCUUUGUGAUCUCCACCUCAGAUAGCUAGACUGAAGUUGACAUAGCUAAUGUUUGCUGAAAAAAUAAAUUUCCUUGUAUUGUGCUGACAGUGCAUGGGGCAGCAGGUAGCCUAGUGGUUAGAGCAUUGUGCCAGUAAUUGAACGAUUGCUGGAUCGAAUCCCUGAGAUGACAAGAUAAACAAAUCUGUUGUUCUGCCCCUGAACAAGGCAGUUAACCCACUGUUCCUUGGUAGGCCGUCAAUGUAAAUCAGAUUUUGCUAAUAACUGACUUGCCUAGUUAAAUACAAGAUAGGUAGCUUGUUAAUGCUAAAUAAUAUAUUUGGUUUCAGUUGUCUUAACAAAACGUUUGUUUGUUUUGAAGAUGACAUCUUAAUCCCUGAAAAUGUUUUCAUCCUGUGUAGGAGGUACAUGCAAAUCCAUGUUCUUUUCUAAGGCUAUUGUUCAUUUGAAGACACAAUCUGUCAUCCUCGAGGAGGAAGUGAGGAAGAGGAAGAGAGGCCCAACUCGGUGGGGAAAUCUGUCUCCCUCCGGCAGGUGGCGUUUUGUGGUUGUUUCGCCCAUCAGCAAGGAGUUUUGUAUGGUCAAUGAGAGAUUGUCGGGGCGGCAGGGUAGCCUAGUGGUUAGAGCGUUGGACUAGUAACUGAAAGGUUGCAAGUUCCAAUCCCCGAGCUGACAAGGUACAAAUCUGUCGUUCUGCCCCUGAACAGGCAGUUAACUGAAAGAUUUGUUCCUAGGCCGUUAUUGAAAAUAAGAAUUUGUUCUUAACUGACUUGCCUAGUAAAAUAAAGGUAAAAUUAAAAAAAUUAAAAUUGUUGAAUUUGGUCAAUAAAAAAUGGAUUGCUUUACGGUUUAUUUGAUGGAAUAGAAGUUCGUAAUGCUUAAGUUGUUAUGAGUGUACUGAAGUAAGUAGGACACGUAACAUCCAGGCAACUUUGAGAAAAACACUUUAUAUCGGAAUUCUCUCUCCCCAUUGAAUAUUGGCGGAUGACAACAACCAUAAUCGAAUACUCAAAAAAUGAUUACAAUAACAAAAGAUUUAAGUGGCUUGGAACAGGUAUGUUAGUAGGUGCCAGGCGCACCAGUUUGGGUCAAGAACUGCAACGCAGCUGGGCUUUUCAUGCUCAACAGUUUCACGUGUGUAUCAAGACUACACCACCCAAAGGACAUCCAGCCAACUUGACACAACUGUGGGAAGCAUUGGAGUCAAAAUGGGCCAGCAUCCCUGUGGAACACUUUCGACACCUUGUAGAGUCCAUUCCCCGACAAAUUGAGACUGUUCUGAGGGCAAAAGGGGGUACAACUUAAUAUUAAAGUGUUGUUUUAUAUACUUUUGUACACAAAAUACUGUAUAUAGUUAUAGAUAGGCUAGACUGCAUUGUCUGCAUAAUAGUGAUUUGUGAAGAUUGUAGCUAUAGCCUACCAGAUUCCUUCAUUUCUUUCUACCAACAGGAAAUAAUGGUUAGUACAGCAUGCCAAACUGACCCCUGGGUGUCAGAGUGUUCCUGUGCUGCGGUGGGGAAGAGGUUCACCGGAGCCAUCACUAAAGAGCUCGAGGCCUAGCUAAAUUGCGCUCACCAUAAUCAGUAUACAACCGAGUCCCGCCACAGAUGGAGUUGACAGAGAGAGCGAGUGAGAUGAGGGAAGACCAGGAUUCGCUGUAUGAAACUGAGAGCUCAGAAUUACAAUCAUCACAGUGCGAGCGAGCCAUGAGAUACUAUCGAAGAGUAUGUGCAAGAUCCGAAAUAUAGCAUGCUGAAGGAGUUGUUCAUGAGCCAGGAUAUCGAGCAGGUGUCAUCAGUUCAUCCCUGAAAAUAAAUUGUUUUUUUUCCAUCACCAUGGAGACCAUCGAGUGUGUUGUGGACCACAGGAGGAAGUUGGAGUCCCAGACCAGAGUGGGAAAUGUUUGCAGGGAAUCUGUUGGUGCCAUCACCGGUCUUCCUAACUGGCGGCUCCCACUCCACAUUUGUAGAAACAUGUUGCCUCCUCAGCCUGGUGUCCAUGUCGCUGCGACAGUUUGCAAACCAACCUUGCAUCUACAUUGUGCCAGAGGUUAAACAUGUGGGCCCAGCAAACAGAGGCGAUUCUGGCUAGAAUUGGUGACAGUCCACUGAUUGUAUCUGGAGAUGCACGGCGUGAUUCGCCAGGCCACUGUGCCUUCUUUGGCACUUACACCGUCCUGGACUCUGCUUCCCACCUGAUCCUGCCCAGGAGACUUUGCACGUGACUGAAUUGAAGAAUGGCUACUGGUUGGACAGAGGGACAGAGGGAUUAGUGAGGUGCCUGCAAACACAUGAUUUAUUUUAUUGAGAUAGAACUCUUUUACAAGAGAGCCCUGUAUAUGUUUACAAAUAAAGCACAGUACACAUACAUAAAACACAACAGCCCAACAAAACGCACUAUAGUAAAACACAUAAUACACAACAUUAAACCUAUUUAAGAAAAGCAAUCGCAAUGCUGAAACAUAAAAGUUCUUUUAAAAUCCUUUUGAGGUAAGCUAUAGCCUCACCUACAUUUUGGAGCUAGCCUCGGGGUUGUAAGUGUGUAUUUGGUGGAUGUACGAAGAUCACUUAGGUCACUUUUUUAGUAAUAAUGCUUUUAUUAUUUUCCUUAACUGGCCCAUGAAUGCAGCAUUGAAACCCUGGCCACUGACAGGUGUCCACACGUGAGGGUGCACUUGAGGGCAUGAGCUUUGGCACAUUGCCAAAGGUGCGAGGAAGAAGCUGGUGGCCACCGGGAAGCCAGAGGUACUGCCAUGGAAGAGGGCGUUAAACACACCACUUGUGGUACUGUGAUGUCACUGUUGGUGGGAGUGUCCAGGUGCUGAAAGAAAAGUAGAUCACCACAGUAACGGGGCGCCGUUACAAAUGAGCACCAGUGAGUCACUGGAGAUACACUCGACUGCUGUGAGCACCCCCACCCUUCACACCUGAAGAAGGAACACAUCCUCAACCCGAGAUUGUUGAAGGAUCUCGAAAGUGACAAAGUGUGUUCAGACAGGUGAACUUGAGAGUGUACAUGCCCUGUACACUAAAUACGUGCCCAGGAGGAACACGUUCGGCCUACAGGGGAUGUCGCAAGACUCCAAGUGGCUGCCUUGCUGUUUCGACUCUCUCUCCCGGACCUGCUGUCUCGACUCUCUCUCCCGGACCUGCUGUCUCGACCUCUGAAUACUCGGCUAUGAAAAGCCAGCUGACAUUUGCUCCUGAGGUAUUGAACUGUUGCACCCUCUAUAACCAUUGUGGUUGUUAUUAUUUUGAUGUAAAAGGGGCUUUGUAAAAUACAUUUGAUUUAUUGAUUGCUUGCUGUGUUGCAUGCUGUGUAUUAACUGUCUGAGUGAUGUGGCAUUUUUAUAGUAUCUGUAACAUAUUUUGGUGUGUAUUUAAUCUGCAACUUCAUUUCUUAAAGGGGCAAUCAGCAGUAGAAACAAUAACAAAGUGUUCUCCAUGCCCCUGAUUCGGUAAAAAGCUCAGGGAUGGGGCUGGAGAAAUUUAACCACUCUAAAAUGCAUAGACAGAGCAAUCAGUGGAAGGACUGGCCACCCAUGAUAUCAAAGUUAUAGUUUUAACCAUGUUUUGGUGCUAUAUUGUGUUUGUUUAAAUGUUUUUAUUUUAUUUUUUACAAACGUUGGAGUAAAACAAGCUUAUAUUUUGGAUUCUGAUGGGGUACGACAGUUGAACUAAGCUCAUGAGACAUUUAUAAGUCAUAUUCUUCAAGAGUCAAUGGGUACAUUUCAUUCAUUUAUAACUACAAAAAUGUUUGUAGCAAUUGCUCUUUGCUCCUUUUAGGUAAGCUACUGUUGUAGUGUCUAUUGAGCUUGUGCACGAGGCAAAGACUUCCAACCACAGCCUUUCACAGCCUUUCCUGUGAAUCCUCUUCUUGUUACAUUGGAACUUGUAAAAACAAUGUAAUAACCCUGUAACUUCCAUUGUAAUCCUCUUUCUCUGAUCUGUUUCCACUACCAUGUACCCAGUUCGCUUUGGAUAAAAGCAUCUGCUAAUGUUA